AGAGGAGAGAGAAUUGGCAUCUGUUACCAGCUAGAAACAAAUCCCUGAACUUCUGUGGAUAGUCCAUAGCUGACUAUAUUAGCUUUUCCACUUUGAGUUUGUUCUAAUUAAGUACAAAUAAAGGAGGAUUAUUUGAUUUCUCACCUACGCCUUCUGGGAUCUAAUUCCCACCAGGGAAAGAAGGUGUGGAUGGGCUACAUAUCUUGGUCUCUUGAGACUUUAGCUUUAUUUGAGUAGCCCUGGGUGCAGGCUCUGAAAUGCCGUGAUCUGACAACAAUCAGGAGUUUCCUUUUGACACCCUUCCUUCCAAACACUCAAGGCUUGCAAAGUGACAGAGUUGAUAAAAUGCUAGAGCAUCCUGCUGCAUUGUGGACCAACAGACUCUGGGGCAGGGGCAAAGUCCUGCAGUUGUCCUUUGCUGUCAUCCACAGAUCUGCAAGAUAAAAAAACAGACAAACAAUGUAUCAUUUAACAUUGAGUUCAUGGAUAUUUUUUGAGAAAACAUGGAAGUUAACGAUGUUGUGGGAUGAAAUGGCCAAGUUUAAUGCUAAAAACAUGGAGUGAUCCUUUCUAAUGGUUAGAUGGGAGGGACACUAUAAUAUACAGGUAUGUAUGUGUGACCCACUUAUAUAGUUAAAGACUGUAUCCUAAUGCAUAUGUGUUAGGGGGUUGAAUUAAAGUUGCAUGAUCAAUCUCUAUCCAUGCCCCUCCUAGCCUUUGAGUGCUUGACUCUGCCACUUUAAUGAUGCAACUUUUACAUGUGACAUUAUCUUUGCAAAAAACAGGUGCAUAUUAUUAGCACCAAAUAUGUACCUAAUAGAAAACAAGCAAUUGUUCUGCGAGCCCAAAGAUGCAGUAAAUGCCUCCCACUCAACAAGCUUCCAAACCGGAGACCACAUGAUGUUUACUUCUCACCAGGACCCAUUUAUAGAUAUGUUACUCACCACUGCCACAGUUACACAUGCAGAGAUAAAAGAGAAGAAAAAGUACUGCAUCUCUUUAUACAGUUUGGAAUAAAGAUUAACCCUUCCCUUUAGCAUUAUAGUUUGACCAGGUGCCCAUAUCACAAACCUCUUAUACACUAUAAUCAACAGAAAACAUCCAGCAUAUUUCCCAUGUGCUAUAUGCUGACAACAUGCAAAUUCAGCAAACUAUUAAAGAGAAAUCAUUGCAGUUAUUGGAAAACAUCAGUAAAUGGGCAGGGACAAGGGUGAGAAUUUUAAAAGAGGGAGAAAGGAGCAAAUUACAAUGGAAAAGGUUUCCUUUAGAGAUGUCAGAAGCCACAGAAAAGACUUUUAUCCUCAGAGCUUUUAAAUGAUAGCUGGGCACUCAAAACAAAUAAGCAUCCUGGGAAUGAAAGAUAUUAAAUUCAGUAAAGUAAGAAGGGGACAGAGUUCAUGAACUUUCAUAAGUCUGAAGCAGAAUUGGGAUGAUAUUCCAAACACACAGAACUAAAGAAGGAAAACAUGCAAAAAAUAAAUUCAGGGCCAUAUCCUUAGUUGGCAGCUUACUUUAGGGAAUUGGUGCAGUGAAAGGAAAAUUUGGAUAAUCCAUUAGCGUACCCUAAUUUUGCCAUUUAGCAGGCAAGAGACUUGAAGUUUUAAUGGCUCUGUCUUAAUUAGUUGGUUUAAUUAGUUGCCUUAUCAUGUUGCCCUUACUUCCUUUCAACUGGCACCAUCUGUUGAGAUCACCUUCUCCUUUGCAUCCGAUUUAAUAUUUAUAUUAUAUGUGGGAUAUCUGGACUGGUAGUCAGCAAAGGUGGAAGAGACAGUAGGAAGUCAGAUGUGUUCCAGUUAUACAUAUUAGCACUGAGAACAGGAUUAGAGGGAGAAGUUCUAAUAUCCAUGCUUAUGUUGGGUGAGGGUUGAGUUAGCAAAGGGAGACUGGCCCUCUUACUUUCCAUUAACUAAAGUUAAUUGACAAAAAAUGUAAAAAUGAAAGAUUUUUUUAAAACUAUUUCUUCACUUCGCCCAGUUGCGGGGAAAAGGUAGGUGGUGGGGAUGACUGCUAAAAGUAAAUAAGAGCAGUGACAUUUUUCUCCACAAGGUUUAAAAAAAAGUCAAAAAAAUUAAUUUUGAAAUUUCAUCGAAAA